GCCUCCUUCGUCUAACGGUUAGGACGCCGCCCUUUCAAGGCGGUAACAGGGGUUCGAUUCCCCUAGGAGGCGCCA
rnacentral:tRNA from 1 species